rnacentral:misc_RNA from 1 species
UACGUAGGGGGCAAGCGUUGUCCGGAAUUAUUGGGCGGAAAGCGCGCGCAGGCGGAUUCUUAAGUCUGAUGUGAAAGCCCACGGCUUAACAGUGGAGGGUCAUUGGAAACUGGGGAACUGGAGUACAGAAGAGGAGAGUGGAAUUCCACGUGUAGCGGUGAAAUGCGUAGAUAUGUGGGGGAACACCAGGGGCGAAGGCGACUCUCUGGUCUGUAACUGACGCUGAGGCGCGAAAGCGUGGGGAGCGAACAGG